rnacentral:misc_RNA from 1 species
UGACAAGCGAACGUACAUAUCUCAGCGAGCAAAAAGCGAUUUCAAAGCGACUGAAUUCAAAGCAUUUAAACAGUUUAUAGUACAUAGUGCAUUUUAAGUGUUAUCAAGAAAGUUCAAAUCAAGAAGCAGACAAGAUGGUGAAAGCUCCAGCAGUUGGUAUUGACUUGGGUACCACGUAUUCCUGCGUUGGUGUCUGGCAGCACGGCAAAGUCGAGAUCAUCGCCAACGACCAAGGCAACAGAACAACACCCAGCUAUGUUGCCUUCACAGACACCGAACGUCUCAUCGGAGACGCCGCCAAGAACCAGGUAGCCAUGAACCCCAGCAACACAGUAUUCGACGCAAAAAGACUGAUAGGCCGCAAAUUUGACGACCCCAAAAUCCAGCAGGACAUCAAACACUGGCCCUUCAAGGUAAUCAGUGACUGCGGCAAACCCAAAAUCCAAGUAGAGUACAAAGGUGAAGUUAAAAAAUUCGCCCCAGAAGAAAUCAGUUCAAUGGUACUCACAAAAAUGAAAGAAGUAGCAGAGGCGUACCUGGGUGCCACAGUGAAGGAUGCAGUUAUCACAGUUCCCGCAUACUUCAACGAUUCACAGAGGCAAGCAACAAAAGACGCUGGUGCCAUCGCAGGUUUGAAUGUGCUUAGGAUAAUCAACGAACCAACAGCAGCCGCUCUUGCAUAUGGUCUAGACAAGAAUCUCAAAGGUGAGAAGAAUGUACUCAUCUUCGACUUGGGUGGUGGUACAUUCGACGUAUCCAUCCUCACAAUAGAUGAAGGCUCAUUGUUCGAGGUUAAAGCCACUGCAGGUGACACACACUUGGGUGGUGAAGACUUUGACAACAGACUUGUUAACCACCUGGCAGAGGAAUUCAAGAGGAAAUUCAAGAAAGAUCUCCGAUCCAAUCCUAGGGCAGUCAGAAGGCUAAGAACAGCAGCUGAAAGAGCCAAACGUACACUUUCAUCCAGUACAGAAGCCACUAUAGAAAUUGAUGCUCUCUUUGAGGGCAUUGAUUACUAUACAAAAGUCAGCAGGGCUCGUUUCGAAGAACUUUGCUCAGACUUAUUCCGUUCAACACUCCAACCUGUUGAAAAGGCCCUGAAUGAUGCAAAAUUAGACAAAGGACAAAUCCAUGAUGUUGUGCUGGUCGGAGGUUCCACUCGAAUUCCAAAGAUCCAACAGAUGCUGCAGAACUUCUUCAAUGGCAAGCAGUUGAACCUGUCCAUCAACCCAGAUGAAGCUGUUGCCUAUGGU